rnacentral:lncRNA from 1 species
GUAAGUCUUGCUGGCUGCAGGCGCCCGCAUCGGCCAGUGCAAAGGUGGCCCAGAGUGCCAAGCGGCGGAGCCGAGGCUUUGAGAAGCACCUUUCUGCUUGCGCUGGGCAGCGGGCUGCGUGUGACUGGCCACCUGGCCUCGGCUGGGAGCGCACUGGUGGCGGGCGGCGGGCAGGUCUCUGACAGGAGCAGGCGCCCGCGGGCAGCGGGGCUGGUGCCCAGAACCUAGCGCAGUGGGAGUUCCCAGCGUGGUUGUCCCAAGCGCCAAAGCCGGUGUCCUGAAGCAAACAGGACAGCUCUUUCGGGGCAGGUGUGG